CUUUCUUUGCUGGCGACCGGCGCACGGGUGAGUAACACGUAUCCAACCUGCCCUUUACUCGGGGAUAGCCUUUCGAAAGAAAGAUUAAUACCCGAUAGCAUAAUGAUUCCGCAUGGUUUCAUUAUUAAAGGAUUCCGGUAAAGGAUGGGGAUGCGUUCCAUUAGGUUGUUGGUGAGGUAACGGCCCACCAAGCCUUCGAUGGAUAGGGGUUCUGAGAGGAAGGUCCCCCACAUUGGAACUGAGACACGAUCCAA
rnacentral:rRNA from 1 species